GUUGAAGAGGCAACUGAUCUGACUGAAUUCACAGAUGAAAUUAUCAGCUGUGGAUACACAGGAGCACUCAACAUAGAACAAAAAGAUGCCAUAAUUAGAGCAAUUUUUCUCUGUGCAAUAUCUGGAGUUACACCAAUGCUUGGAGACUUGCCCAAUGGCCUCCAGCUGUAUAGAUUGCUGGACAUACUUAAGGAGCAUCCAAGACUUUGCAAGAGUCUUUUUGUUCCUGGGGAGGACUGUACAGUAAGUUAAAUGUUGAACCAAAUGCUAAGAAUUGAACCAAACACCAAAUUGUUGUUCUACUGACAAUUUGUUCUUUUUCCACCCAGAUGCAGACUAUAAUCUCAGCAAUGUUGCUCCUGAAAUAAGUGAGAGACGAACUUCAAGGGCUUUGGUAGAGAGCAAAAUCAUAAAUUACUUUCAGGACUUCCUUCAAAAAAAUUGAAUGUGGAGGUGGGCUUUGCGUUGUAUUGUACUUUAUUAUUAAUGGGAUGGUUUACCCAAAAUUAAAA
ensembl:lncRNA